UACGAGGGGGGCAAGCGUUAUUCAAUAUAACUAGGCGUAAAGCGUCUGUAGGCGGCAAGUUUCGUUAUCAUAAAAAAUUAAAGCCCAAACUUUAAAACAUUGAUAAAACGUGCUUUGCUAGAGUCAUGGAGAGGGUAGUAGAAGUUUCUGAUUGUAGGGAGUGGAAUCCAAGUUCACAUCAGAAGGAAUUCCGAGGGCGAAGGCAACUAGUCUGUCAUGACUGACGCUGCAGAGACGAAGGCGAUGGGGAGCGAAGUGG
rnacentral:rRNA from 1 species